rnacentral:rRNA from 1 species
UACGUAGGGCGCAAGCGUUGUCCGGAAUUAUUGGGCGUAAAGGGCUCGUAGGCGGUUUGUCGCGUCGGGAGUGAAAACGCCGUGCUUAACACGGCGCUUGCUUUCGAUACGGGCAGACUAGAGGUAUGCAGGGGAGAACGGAAUUCCUGGUGUAGCGGUGAAAUGCGCAGAUAUCAGGAGGAACACCGGUGGCGAAGGCGGUUCUCUGGGCAUUACCUGACGCUGAGGAGCGAAAGUGUGGGGAGCGAACAGG